GACGAACGCUGGCGGCGUGCCUAAUACAUGCAAGUAGAACGCUGAAGCGAGGAGCUUGCUCUUCUUGGAUGAGUUGCGAACGGGUGAGUAACGCGUAGGUAACCUGCCUUGUAGCGGGGGAUAACUAUUGGAAACGAUAGCUAAUACCGCAUAACAAUGGAUGACACAUGUCAUUUAUUUGAAAGGGGCAAUUGCUCCACUACAAGAUGGACCUGCGUUGUAUUAGCUAGUAGGUGAGGUAAUGGCUCACCUAGGCGACGGUACAUAGCCGACCUGAGAGGGUGAUCGGCCAACCUGGGAAUGGGACAAGGCCCAGAACCCUACGGGGGGGAGGAGGAGGGAAACUUUGGCAAUGGGGGCAACCCUGACCGAGGAACGCCGGGGGAGUGAAGAAGGUUUUCGGAUCGUAAAGCUCGGUUGUAAGUCAAGGACGGGUGUGAGAGUGGAAAGUUCACACUGUGACGGUAGCUGACCAGAAAGGGACGGCUAACUACGUG
rnacentral:rRNA from 1 species